rnacentral:lncRNA from 1 species
UCCCAAGCCACAUUAAUCACGGAACCUUUUUUCAUGAUAAACAUUAACAUCUGGAAGAACUGUUAUUCUGCAGAAUAUAGUUUGAGAAAAGCCAAUAUAGAAUGAAUGAUAAUUUCUACCUUCACUCCAACAUAGCAGAGUGGUUAUUAUCCUGAGCACACAGACUUCAAAUGACCUUGGAGGCUGCAGUGAAAAAACUGUGAUGAAACUUCAGAGUGAAAUACUCAUACAGGAAGAGAUAGCAGGGUAAGGGUAAGUUUGAGGAAGUCACAAAAAAAAAAAAAAAAAAAGGAAUGAGAAAGAAAACUAACUUAUUGAGAAGGCAAAGAUAGAGUUCCAAUUAAAGAAGAAUCACGGCCAGGCAACUGAGUAAAAGGAGAAUUGGUAAGAUUUUCCUAGAUACUUGAUGCCGAGAAGUAAGAAUUAAUAUGGCACCUGCUUCUGGUCCCAGACAAUGGGGGAAAGAUUGGCUCGGUCUGGUUAUUCAACUCAAAGUGGGAGGCUGGCGUUGGGGCCAGAGUGUUUUGACUCAGCCUGAAGUUCUCCUUCUGUGAUGGUUAAUAUUGAGUGUCAAUUUGAUUGGAUUAAAGGAUGCAAAGUACUAUUCCUGGGUGUGUCCGUGAAGGUGUUACCAAAGGAGAUUCACUUUUGAGUCAGUGAACUGGAGAGGCAGAGCCACCCUCAAUUUGGGUGGGCACCAUCUAAUCAGCUGCCAGCAUAGCUAGAAUAAAAAGCAAGCAGAAGAACAUGGAAAGAACAGACUUCUGAGUCUUCCAGCCUCCAUCUUUCUCCUGUGCUGGAUGCUUCCUGCCCUCAAACAUCAGACUCCAAGUUCUUCAGCUUCUGGACUCCUGGACUGACCCAGAGCCUCUCGGGCCUUUGACCACAGACUGAAGGCUGCAUUGUAGGCUUCCCUACUUUUGAGGGUUCAGGAUUCGGACUGACCCACCACUGGCUUCCUUGCUCCUCAACUUGGACACAGCCUAUCAUUGGACUUUACCUUGUGAUCAUGUGAGUCAAUACUCCU